AACACAAUUCAAGUGCUACUUGAAUCUGUGUUCCCAGGCUGCAGUCCUAACAAACCCUGAAUACACAUCUUUUUGUUUAAUUUAACUUACAAUUGGG